rnacentral:misc_RNA from 1 species
CAAAAAAGAACUCGAGCAUUAGGCAACUAACUGACAUGGUUAAACCAAAGAAAUCGCACCAAAGAAAUCGCAAACACUUGUGCAGUGAACUAUACCAUCAUUUUAGCCUUACUUGAUCUCACAAGACAAAGUUACAAUAAUAAUAACCUUCAAAUGCAUAAAACAAGAGAAGAAAGUAGAAGUUUAUUAAAUGCAUGGUCAAAAGAGGUAUUAUAGCAGCCUCAAGCAUGGUAAUUAUGUGGAGGUUUGAUGAGGAACUAUAGAUUAAGUCAAAUUUUUUCACACAAACAAAUGUAAUUAUAUUAUUAUAGAAGAAGAAGCACCUAGCUUGAGCGUGUUUUACUACAUGUUUAAAAGUUUGAACUGAAGUCAACUCAUUUAAACAUGUAAUUGUACAGUAGCCUAUAUAUUUUAUGCUAAACAUGCUAACAAUAUCCCAAAAUUUUGAAUUUAAAUCCAUAAUCCAUACAUUCUGCCAAUGCCAGAAAUAUGAGACAUAUAAGAUUCUGACACUGAAAAAAU